AGGGGUAUAGUUCAAAGGUAGAACAAUGGUCUCCAAAACCAUCGGUCCGGGUUCGAUUCCUGGUGCCCCUGCCA
rnacentral:tRNA from 1 species